rnacentral:rRNA from 1 species
CCUACGGGAGGCAGCAGUGGGGAAUAUUGGGCAAUGGGCGAAAGCCUGACCCAGCAACGCCGCGUGAAGGAAGAAGGUCUUCGGAUUGUAAACUUCUUUUAUCAGGGACGAAGGAAGUGACGGUACCUGAUGAAUAAGCCACGGCUAACUACGUGCCAGCAGCCGCGGUAAUACGUAGGUGGCAAGCGUUAUCCGGAUUUACUG